CGACAUUAGUUGCAUAUUUAUGCAAACAACAUGGUGCAUGAUCCAAUCGACUAUACGCUACGUGAAAGCACGUUGCUGUCUGAUCUAUAUCAUUUUUCGGAAAUCUAUAAACGCCACUGAUUUUUGACCGAUCGGUUUCUUUUCUCCCUCUCUAUGUCUGCUACUAAACGAAUUAACAUUCAAGAAAAGAGGACUCCAUGAAUGGAAUGACUCUCCUGAUCAUGGAAAUUUUCACAACUGCAGGGCAUUAAGGACUGCAAAGCCUGCUGCGACAAGGCCAAGUGUGUCCCCUCUGCCAGAUCCAGCUGCAAGCCCUGGGACUAAUAAUAUGCUCCUCUUAUAGGUUCUAAAUUGUACUUUCAUUUUGCUUGUGUUUUCUUCAAUUGUGGUUUGGAAAGAUGUUCUUUUGCUUCUCGUGAUAUCUCUGUAAUAAGUCCUGUGGGGAGGACAAUGGCUGCUUUCCGUGUAGAAACCCUGUAUUUCUUCUUUCCAGACUGAGUGUUUCUCUCGUUUGGAAUUUCUAUGAUACGAACGAAUUGACUGAAUUGCUGAUCCACCGUUUUCUAUGUCAUGAUCAAGAUGAAACGAAGGAAACGGUUGAUAAAGUGACCGAAUGUUGAACGUUAGAUGCUCGUGAAUGGAAGAAACUUUAUGUUUUGCAGCUGGUAAAAACUUGAGAGAUUGAUGGGUCGGUUUUGUCCUGGAAUAUAUCCAACAUCAAUCACAUCUCAUGCUCAUCUCCUUCCUUUUUCGUUUCUCCUUAAAAGACGAGAUCUGCAACAGGUCCAGACCAGUUUUCAUUGGAUUCUCAUUCCAUCUGAUCCUCC
rnacentral:lncRNA from 1 species